CCUACGGGAGGCUGCAGUGGGGAAUAUUGCACAAUGGGGGAAACCCUGAUGCAGCGACGCCGCGUGAGUGAAGAAGUAUUUAGUUAUGUAAAGCUCUAUCAGCAGGGAAGAAAAUGACGGUACCUGAGUAAGAAGCCACGGCUAACUACGUGCCAGCAGCCGCGGUAAUACGUAGGGGGCAAGCGUUAUCCGGAUUUACUGGGUGUAAAGGGAGCGUAGACGGGAGUGCAAGUCUGGAGUGAAAGUCGGGGGCUCAACCCCCUGACUGCUCUUGAAACUGUACGUCUGGAGUGCAGGAGAGGUAAGUGGAAUGCGUAGUGUAGCGGUGAAAUGCAUAGAUAUUAGGAAGAACACCAGUGGCGAAGGCGGCUUACUGGACUGUAACUGACGUUGAGGCUCGAAAGCGUGGGUAUCAAACAGGAUUAGAUACCCGAGUAGUC
rnacentral:rRNA from 1 species